GAUGAACGCUGGCGGCGUGCCUAAUACAUGCAAGUCGAGCGAACAGACGAGGAGCUUGCUCCUCUGACGUUAGCGGCGGACGGGUGAGUAACACGUGGAUAACCUACCUAUAAGACUGGGAUAACUUCGGGAAACCGGAGCUAAUACCGGAUAAUAUAUUGAACCGCAUGGUUCAAUAGUGAAAGACGGUUUUGCUGUCACUUAUAGAUGGAUCCGCGCCGCAUUAGCUAGUUGGUAAGGUAACGGCUUACCAAGGCAACGAUGCGUAGCCGACCUGAGAGGGUGGUCAGCCACCCUGGAACUGAGACACGGUGCAAGCUCCUACGGGAGGGAGCAGUAGGGAAUCUUGCGCAAUGGGCGGAAGCUUUGCGGAGCAACGCCGCGUGAGUGAUGAAGGUCUUCGGAUCGUAAAACUCUGUUAUUAGGGAAGAACAAAUGUGUAAGUAACUAUGCACGUCUUGACGGUACCUAAUCAGAAAGCCACGGCUAACUACGUG
rnacentral:rRNA from 1 species